AUUGAACGCUGGCGGCAGGCCUAACACAUGCAAGUCGAGCGGAUGAAGAGAGCUUGCUCUCUGAUUUAGCGGCGGACGGGUGAGUAAUGCCUAGGAAUCUGCCUGGUAGUGGGGGAUAACGUCCGGAAACGGGCGCUAAUACCGCAUACGUCCUACGGGAGAAAGCAGGGGACCUUCGGGCCUUGCGCUAUCAGAUGAGCCUAGGUCGGAUUAGCUAGUUGGUGAGGUAAUGGCUCACCAAGGCGACGAUCCGUAACUGGUCUGAGAGGAUGAUCAGUCACACUGGAACUGAGACACGGUCCAGACUCCUACGGGAGGCAGCAGUGGGGAAUAUUGGACAAUGGGCGAAAGCCUGAUCCAGCCAUGCCGCGUGUGUGAAGAAGGUCUUCGGAUUGUAAAGCACUUUAAGUUGGGAGGAAGGGCAGUAAGUUAAUACCUUGCUGUUUUGACGUUACCGACAGAAUAAGCACCGGCUAACUUCGUGCCAGCAGCCGCCGUAACAC
rnacentral:rRNA from 1 species